rnacentral:lncRNA from 1 species
UGACUCUUAAGACAAAGACAGGGGUCACCCAGUGGAUCGUUCAGGUCCUUCAAAAAACAGAAUGCCAGAAAACAGGAGACUGGAUAUCCAUCAGCUUCCAGAGAUUUAAGUCUUUUGUAAACAUCACAGAUCUGAGGGCUCUCGAUUCAAACUUCAGUGGGGUGGCCUCUCUGGAGGAUCUCUCAGCAGUACAACUUGCUCAACUGACC